AACGAACGCUGGCGGCGUGGAUAAGACAUGCAAGUCGAGCGGGAACUAGCGGGUAGCAAUAUUUGCUAGUUCUAGCGGCGAAAGGGUGCGUAACACGUGGGCAAUCUGCCGUGAAGUUUGGGAUAACCCCGAGAAAUCGGGGCUAAUACCGGAUGUGAAAAUUGGGUGGCAUCACUCAAUUUUUAAAGUUGGGGACCGAAAGGCCUGACGCUUCACGAUGAGCCCGCGGCCUAUCAGCUAGUUGGUGAGGUAACGGCUCACCAAGGCUAAGACGGGUAGCUGGUCUGAGAGGACGACCAGCCACACUGGAACUGAGACACGGUCCAGACACCUACGGGUGGCAGCAGUCGAGAAUUUUUCACAAUGGGCGAAAGCCUGAUGGAGCGACGCCGCGUGGGGGAUGAAUGGCUUCGGCCCGUAAACCCCUGUCAUUCGGGAGCAAUUCCUGCGAUCUAAUACAUCGCAGGUUGAUAGUACCGGAAGAGGAAGGGACGGCUAACUCUGUGCCAGCAGCCGCGGUAAUACAGAGGUCCCAAGCGUUGUUCGGAUUCACUGGGCGUAAAGGGUGCGUAGGCGGUCGGAUAAGUCUGAUGUGAAAUCUCCGAGCUCAACUCGGAAACUGCAUUGGAUACUA
rnacentral:rRNA from 1 species